GGAUCUGUAGCUCAGUGGGAAAGAAUCUGCGUCGCAUGCAGAAGGUCACGGGUUCAAUCCCCUGUGGCAUCUCCA